UACAAACCUCUCAGUGCCCCAAGAGUAAAUAACCAGGUAGAGAAGCUGCACAGGAAGUCAUCUAAUGAGGAGGAGAUCCUCAGCAGGGACCCUGGGGACAGCGAAGCCCCUACAGAGAUUGGGGAGGAGAGUGAAGCCCAGUCAUAGGAGAAGAAAGAGUGACCCCAGCCCGCCUCAGGCCUCCUGCAAAAAUACAUAGCAUAAACAACAAGAGCCAUCAGAAAGAAAAGCAGGACUGAAGCCAGCGGUCCACACAUCCACAGAGGCAGCGGGCAGAGGAAGCACAGGGCCGUCAUUCCCUCCCUUGUUUCCCAGUCUUACUAGUCACCCAGACCUGAAAACAUAUCCUCAGGGGUGGAGAUUUUACAAUUAAAUACUGUUGUUCUCUUGU